UACGUAGGGUGCGAGCGUUAAUCGGAAUUACUGGGCGUAAAGCGUGCGCAGGCGGCUUUGCAAGACAGAUGUGAAAUCCCCGGGCUCAACCUGGGAACUGCAUUUGUGACUGCAAGGCUAGAGUACGGCAGAGGGGGAUGGAAUUCCGCGUGAAGCAGUGAAAUGCGUAGAUAUGCGGAGGAACACCAAUGGCGAAGGCAAUCCCCUGGGCCUGUACUGACGCUCAUGCACGAAAGCGUGGGGAGCAAACAGG
rnacentral:rRNA from 1 species